ensembl:lncRNA
CAAACUCUCCCUUAAACUCAUUAGCAGAUUGCUCACAUAUGACUUGGCCCUUGGAGUUGACCUCUGGUCCAAUUACCCAGGGGUUAGUUCUUCCAUAGGCUUCUUUAUGAAUAACUGGCUGAGAAAUGUCCAUGUAGUGUCCAACUCCUACAAGAUGUUCUCAGAAACCUAUAAGGAUGACAGUUCACUCCAACCCCAUUCCUUGGAAGGGAAGUGAGUCUCUUCAUGACCAACUGUGGGCGUGAUGAUGUGUGAAGUUCUACGUCUAUGGAUCAGUGACGUAGCCCAAGAUCUCCCUUACCAGGAAGACCCUUUGCAUAUUAUGAUCAGAGUCUCUAAGGCCAUUUCCCAGAAGCCACGGCCAACUCUAGUGAGCAGCCACAUCUUGCAGUUUCCCAAGCAAGCAGGCACAAAGCAAGUGAAGAUCCAUAAUGGAUUUAGACCAACAUCAAAGGAUCAGUUCAUACAUGAACACACUGCAUCCUAUAGAGAAACCUAAAGCAAUCAAGGGCACAGAACAAUACCUUGAAGGAAGAGUUCAGAAUGCUGUUUUGCCGGGGCGAGUCUUAAGGUGGGAGGAAGGAGGCUUCAUUUCCCUCCUAAUUGUCGCUGCUGCUUUUGAUUUGCUUCCUGCUUCCCCCACCUUUUAAAAUGCUACAUCAUGAGUAUCUUCCU